rnacentral:tRNA from 1 species
GCGCCGGGCGGGCCGCCUUGGCGGUGGUGGUCCUGAAGAUCAUCGGUUGUGCUCCGUGGGGGUCGGGGUCCGGCGCA